rnacentral:rRNA from 1 species
UACAGAGGUCUCAAGCGUUGUUCGGAUUCAUUGGGCGUAAAGGGUGCGUAGGUGGCGGGGUUAGUCAGGUGUGAAAUCUCGGAGCUCAACUCCGAAACUGCACUUGAUACUGCCUUGCUAGAGUACUGGAGAGGAGAUUGGAAUUUACGGUGUAGCAGUGAAAUGCGUAGAUAUCGUAAGGAAGACCAGUGGCGAAGGCGAAUCUCUGGACAGUUACUGACACUGAGGCACGAAGGCCAGGGGGAGCAAACGGG